GAUGAACGCUAGCUACAGGCUUAACACAUGCAAGUCGAGGGGCAGCACAGUGUAGCAAUACACGGGUGGCGACCGGCGCACGGGUGCGUAACACGUAUCCAAUCUGCCCGUUACUCGGGGAUAGCCUUCUGAAAGGAAGAUUAAUACCCGAUGGCAUGUAUUUCCGGCAUCGGAGAUGCAUUAAAGAUUUAUCGGUAACGGAUGAGGAUGCGUACGAUUAGCUAGUUGGCGGGGUAACGGCCCACCAAGGCGACGAUCGUUAGGGGUUCUGAGAGGAAGGUCCCCCACACUGGAACUGAGACACGGUCCAGACUCCUACGGGAGGCAGCAGUGAGGAGUAUUGGUCAAUGGUCGAGAGACUGAACCAGCCAAGUAGCGUGAAGGAUGACUGCCCUACGGGUUGUAAACUUCUUUUGUUUGGGAAUAAAGUGAGGCACGUGUGCCUUUUUGUAUGUACCUUACGAAUAAGCAUCGGCUAAUUCCGUGCCAGCAGCCGCAGUAA
rnacentral:rRNA from 1 species